rnacentral:lncRNA from 1 species
AUGUCCAGUCUCCCAGUGCCCUGGGACAGUCUUAACUCCUCGGCCUGUCCUUUCGGACAUAUCCUCUCCCGGUCCCGCAGUUUCGGUUUCGGAAGCGCCUACACUCAGGCUUCCCUCCUAGCUUUUGUACACGGGGCAACGUCCCCUCGGAAGUUCUACUCACCCCUCACCCCCUUAGCUGCAAGAGGUGGGGACUUGAGGCGAAGGCCCCCUGGGGGACGUCCUGGGACCCUCUUCGCACGUUGGCACUCCCUUUUACCCUCGGCUCACCGCCCCUCCUUCCUAAGCCUCGGUUUCUCCGCGCCCCGCCUUCGUCCCAAGUUCCAGGGAGGCAGCUUCCGUUUCAUACUGGGGACGGUCGAAGCACUGAGUGCGACCAUCAACCUGCGUCACCCCUCCCAGUGUUUGUGGGGGGGUUCGGGUGAGCCCGCAGGCUCGUCACGGCCGCCGCCUGACACGGCCCCGCCCAGCCCACAGGCUGUGACCGGUCCUGCAGAGUCGCUGAUGGACCCGGGGCAGGAUUGGUCUGGAAACAGUGGCCAGUGGGACUGUGAGGAGAGCAGGACACCAGUGGGGCCAGCAUCUGUGGUCUUCUCAGAGCCCACCUAUUGGCCACCUGGCCUCGCUGUCUCCUCAUGCGGGAGCCUGGUGGCCUUUGAGGAGGUGGCCAUGCACUUCUCCAGGGAGGAGUGGGAGCUCCUCGAUGAGGCCCAGAGGCAGCUGUACCACACUGUGAUGCUGGAGACCUUGGAGCUCGUGACCUCACUUGGCUGUUGGCCUGUGGUGGAAGAUGAGGAGGUGCCUUCUGAGAGGAAUGCUUCUGGAGAGGUGGUGUCACAGGUCAGAACUCCCAGUGUACCUCCUUCCAUGCAGAAGGCUGACAGCUGUGACACGUGUGAGCCACUCUUGAAAGACAUUUUGCAGCUGGACAACCAUCAAAGACAUACUGGAGAGACUCCCUGCACAUGUUUAGCAUAUGGAAGAGAGUUCUGGUUUGGUGGAAAUCUUCACCAGCAUCCAGAGUACAAUGGAGAAAAGCCCUUCCAAUGGAACAGAGACAGGGACUUGUUUUUGAAGAGCUCAACAGACUCUCUGUCAGAGAAACCCAUUACAUGUGGGUUAGGUGGCCAGGAUGUCUCAGACGGCCAUGACCUGCUCCAGCCCCCAAGCUUGGAUGGCAGUGGGGAGCCACAUAGCAGCACAAAGGACAGGGAGGCCUCACUGCACCCUUUCAAUUCUGGGCAGCUCCUAGAGGUCCAGUCCUCACAGAAGCCCUUCAACUGCAGUGACAGUGGGAAAGCUUUCCAGAAGACUCCUGUCCUCCUCAGCCACCUGAGUGCUCACUCUGAAGAGACACCAUUUAGAUGCCCAAGAGUUGAAAAUUCCUUAGAGGAGAAAUCAGCCCUUACUAGUGACCAAUGGUUUCACACUGGAGAAACAUCUCAUGUAUGUAAAGAGUGUGGCAAGGCUUUCAGUCACCCAUAUAAACUGAGGAAGCAUCAGAAAUUCCACACAGGAGUAAAAGAUUAUGCAUGCAGCGACUGUGGGAAAACUUUCAGCCACAAACUCACCCUUAUUCAUCACCAGAGAAUCCACACAGGAGAAAGGCCUUACGAAUGCAGUGAAUGUGGGAAAGCCUUCAAUAACAGGUCACACCUCGCUCGGCAUGAGAAGGUUCACACAGGAGAAAGGCCUUUCAAGUGCAGCAAAUGUGGAAGAGCCUUCAGCCAAAGCUCCAAUUUCCUUCGGCACCAGAAAGUCCACACCCACAUAAAACCUUAUGAGUGCAGUCAGUGUGGCAAAGCCUUCAGUCGCAGCUCUGCGCUCAUGCAGCACUGGAGAGUUCACACUGGAGAACGGCCAUUUGAGUGCAGUGAGUGUGGGAGAGCUUUUAACAACAACUCCAACCUUGCUCAGCACCAGAAGGUUCACACCGGAGAACGGCCUUUCGGAUGCAAUGAAUGUGGAAGAGACUUUAGCCAAAGUUCUCACCUCCUUCGCCAUCAGAAAGUCCACACCGGAGAACGGCCUUUCGCAUGUGGUGAAUGUGGGAAAACCUUCAGCAACAGCUCCACCCUCAUUCAACACCAGAAAGUACAUACUGGACAAAGGCCUUACAGGUGCAGUGAGUGCAGAAAAGCCUUCAGUCGCAACUCCAGCCUGGUUCAGCACUGGAGAACUCACACUGGGGAAAAGCCUUACGAGUGCAGUGAAUGUGGGAAAGCCUUUGCUCACAGUUCCAGUCUCAUUGAGCACUGGAGAGUUCACACCAGAGAAAGGCCUUAUGAGUGUAAUGAAUGUGGGAAGUUCUUUAGCCAAAAGUCGAUUCUUACGAAGCAUCAGAAAGUUCACACUGGGGAAAGGCCUUAUGAGUGCACUAAAUGUGGCAAGUUCUUUAGCCGUAAAUCCAGCCUUAUCUAUCACUGGAGAGUUCACACUGGGGAAAGGCCUUACGAGUGCAGUGCAUGCGGAAGAGCCUUCAGCAGUAACUCUCACCUCAUUCGUCACCAGAGAGUGCACACACAGGAAAGGCCCUACGAAUGCAGCCAGUGUGGGAAAGCCUUUAGUGAAAGGUCCACACUUGUCCGACACCAGAUAGUUCACACCAGAGAGAGGACUUACGAGUGUGGUCACUGUGGGAAAAUCUUCAGCCGCCUCUGCAACCUUGCACAGCAUGGAAGGAUCCACAGCUGAGUGCAGCCUGAUGGAGACGGUCUUUGGGGGACCUCCAGUCACAUCAAGCUUCAGGCAGCAGACUACAGAGAAAUUCCCUAGUGUGUCACUGAUGUGGAAAUGCCUUCAGAAGCCACCCUGCCCUUUCUGAGCAGCCUAGGAACCUACAUAGCACUGUCUCCCCUCUGGAGCAUAAACCUCUUUCUAGCUGCCUGUUGCCUCUGAGAGGGUCAGGGAAUGAACUGACCCCAUGCUGGUUGAGAGAUUUAUUAAUAAAGACACAUGACAUCCUACA